rnacentral:rRNA from 1 species
GACGAACGCUGGCGGCGUGCUUAACACAUGCAAGUCGAACGGAAAGGCCUUUUCGGAGGUACUCGAGUGGCGAACGGGUGAGUAACACGUGGGUGAUCUGCCCUGCACUCUGGGAUAAGCCUGGGAAACUGGGUCUAAUACCGGAUAGGACCGCACUUUAGUGUGUGUGGUGGAAAGUUUUUUCGGUGUAGGAUGAGCCCGCGGCCUAUCAGCUUGUUGGUGGGGUAAUGGCCUACCAAGGCGGCGGCGGGUAGCCGGACUGAGAGGUUGGUCGGCCACAUUGGGACUGAGAGACGGCCCAGACUCCUACGGGAGGCAGCAGUGGGGAAUAUUGCACAAUGGGCGCAAGCCUGAUGCAGCGACGCCGCGUGGGGGAUGACGGCCUUCGGGUUGUAAACUCCUUUCGCCAGGGACGAAGCGUUUUGUGACGGUACCUGGAGAAGAAGCACCGGCUAACUACGUG